AUGAACUCGCUGCUCCGCCGCGCGCUCUCUGCCUCCUCUUCGCCGGCGCGUCCGCAGAGAGCGCUCCUAUCGGCGCUUCUCUCUUCUCCGCCGGCCGGCUCUCCCCAGCCAUGUCGCCCCCCCGCGCCACAGCCGCUGGAGCCACCGAAGCAGCGAGCGUUCCACGCCUCUCCGAGACCCCUGGGGUUCAGGUCCACUACCCCCGCUCCGUGGCCCGGGACGGUCUCGGAGGCCGGCGCGGCAGCGGGGGAUGACGGGCUGGAGGUCGCGAGGCUGGGGAUCUCGCCGCGGAUCGUGGAGAGACUCGCCGCGCGUGGCAUCAACAGGCUCUUCCCCAUCCAGAGAGCUGUUCUUGAACCAGCAAUGCAAGGGAAAGACAUGAUUGGCCGUGCUCGAACUGGAACUGGAAAAACCUUGGCUUUUGGCAUUCCUAUCAUGGACAGGAUUCUUCGUCACAAUGAGAAGAAUGGAAGUGGUAGAAAUCCUUUAGCCAUCAUCUUGGCACCUACUCGAGAACUCGCUCGACAAGUUGAGAAGGAAUUUAGAGAAUCUGCUCCAUUAGACACUCUUUGUGUCUAUGGAGGUGUUCCCAUCAGUCAGCAAAUGAGAACUCUCAAUUAUGGUGUUGACAUUGUGGUUGGAACUCCAGGGCGUGUUAUUGAUCUUUUGAGAAGAGGUGUCCUAAACUUAUCAGAGAUCCAAUUUGUGGUUCUGGAUGAAGCUGAUCAGAUGCUGGCUGUGGGUUUUGAUGAAGCUGUUGAGGUGAUCAUGGAGAAGUUGCCACAAAACCGGCAAAGUAUGCUGUUCUCUGCAACAAUGCCUAGUUGGAUCAGAAAACUUACAAACCAGUACUUAAAAGAUCCAGUCAUAAUUGACCUUGUUGGUGACUCAGAACAGAAAUUACCUGAAGGAAUCUCUCUUUAUUCAAUUGUAUCUGAGAACUAUGGGAAGUCCUCGAUUCUUGGUCCAUUGAUUAAAGAGCAUGCUGAUGGUGGAAAGUGCAUUGUAUUUACUCAAACUAAACGAGAAGCAGAUAGAUUGGCAUAUGCCAUGGGCAGGAGUUAUGCAUGUCAGGCGCUGCAUGGAGAUAUCUCACAAAAUCAGAGAGAAAGGACACUCUCAGGAUUUCGAGACAGCCGCUUUAACAUCCUUGUAGCAACUGAUGUUGCAGCCCGUGGAUUAGAUAUACCCAAUGUUGAUCUAGUGGUACACUACGAAAUCCCAAACUCGUCAGAGUUAUUUGUUCACAGAUCUGGACGAACUGCACGAGCAGGGAAGAAAGGCAUUGCCAUUCUAAUGUACACAUAUGAACAAAGUAGAACUGUAAAGGUCAUCGAGCAGGAUAUAGGAUGCAGGUUCACAGAGCUUCCCAAGGUUGCAGCUACAGACGAAGCUGCAGAGCUGUUUAAUGUUAUGAGAGACAGUCGCUCUAGAUCAGUUGGAACCAGAAGAAGUGGUGGUUCCUCUUUCAGCCACGACGAUGGCUUUGGCGAACGCCACUCCCGUGGCUUUGGUGAUUUUGACUGCUUUGGCGGUACCCCUAAUCGUGCUGGGUGGUCCGGGGAUGCGGGUUCAAGAUACCGUGGCGGGUUCGGGGAUUCUCGACGACCUUCUCAACCUUCCAAUGGCUUUGGCAGGUCCAGUGGGUUUGGAGAUUCUCGGCGAGGUCCUCAACCUUCUGAUGGUUUUGGCAGGUCUAGCUUCAAUCGCCCGGGUGGGUUUGGCGAAUUUGAAGAAGGCAACAGCAGAAGUGGUCGGUUCCCCAGGAGAUCCGAUGAUUCAGACCCUUCACGGUAUGGCAGAAGCUCCAAUGGUUUUGGCACCUCUGAUUUCGGCAGACCAGGCAGCAUCAAGGAUUAA
rnacentral:rRNA from 1 species